AUUUUAACUAAACACGUAACUGUUUAAAAUUUUAAGUGCUUAUAAGCUUAAAUUAAGCGCCAGGUGCUUAUAAGUUAAGUCAAACACCCUCUUAGAAGUUGCAUUGUACAAAAUUACUAGCAACUAGUUUAUGAAUAAUAUAAAUAUAACUCUUUAAGGAUAGGGGGUAUUGUAUGAUAUUCCUUAUAAACUUUUUUGGACCAUAAUGCUAAGCUUCUCGGAUCUUUGAAAUUGACAUUCUUGAGUUCUUUUUUUGCAUCAGAAUAAUACUUGUACUUGUAAAUGGUAAUUGAUGAAUAGUACCAUUAAUAGUAAUGAUUAGCAUCGCUCAUGAUAAAUAAAGAAUUUAGGCUUCUCACCUAAAAAUAUAUACUUAAAACUCUUAUUUGAGUCUGACGGAAAAAUAUUCUAGAAACAUUUUGUUCAUUUUUCCGUGUCCAGGAAACUUGGUAAAUAAAUAUGUUUUUAUGCUUAAAAGGGAAAACUAGCCGGUUUCAAUAAAAAUGGCAUGUUUUCAUAAUGUGAAGUAAUCUUUUGAACAUAUUACAAACUCAUAAAAAGAGAAGAUCCUAUGAAGAGGAUCAAUAGCCACACAUCCAUUAUUUUACUACUAUUAGAAUGCUAGCUUUAUGAUUACUGUGAUUAUGUGAGUGAUUGUGUGCUAUGAUCUUGAGAGUAAAUUUAGGUUGUAAUUAUGUAAUCUUCUAUAUUAGUGUAUCAACAAAAGAUUAGGCAAUUUUUCCCACAUUCUUCCUUUAUUUUUCUUCUCACAUUUUUCCUCUAUUUUUCUUUUUUUUGUUUUAGUUUUACAUGGUACUAGAGCCUUAAGGUUUGAUCCUUUGUCCCUUUUUUCUUCGCCUAUUCUUGCUCUAAGAAACAAAAACAAACAAAACUACCAAUCAAUGAACUUUUGAGAAACAAAUAGACUCACCACAUAUCCCAUCAGCCUUCCUAGAUGCCGAUCGACCCUUGCCCAAGACUUUUUGUGCUUUCACUCGCUAUAGAGUUUCUAAUGUAUUGUUACUAUGUUUUGCAAGGGCUGUAAAUAUUGAUAAUUGCAUAUGCAUUGAUGGUAAUGGCAAAUUAGUAAAUGUUUUCAUGUUGAUUUCUACAAUAGUUACAGUGCUCUCCAUAUUUACUUUGUCAUUUAUUUAUAAGUUGCCUGAGAAAGCUAAAUUGUAAUUUCAGGUUGAGCAAAAGAAGAAGAGAU
rnacentral:misc_RNA from 1 species